UACCAGCACCCCGAGUGGUCGGGACGAUUAUUGGGCCUAAAGCAUCCGUAGCCGGUUCUACAAGUCUUCCGUUAAAUCCACCUGCUUAACAGAUGGGCUGCGGAGGAUACUAUGGAGCUAGGAGGCGGGAGAGGCAAGCGGUACUUAGUGGGUAGGGGUAAAAUCCGUUGAUCCAUUGAAGACCACCAGUGGCGAAGGCGGCUUGCCAGAAUGCGCUCGACGGUGAGGGAUGAAAGCUGGGGGGAGCAAACCGG
rnacentral:rRNA from 1 species